rnacentral:tRNA from 1 species
GGGGAUUUAGCUCAGUGGUAGAGUGCUUGCCUACCACUUGCAAGCGCAAGGCCCUGGGUUCAGUCCCCA